GGCCUAACACAUGCAAGUCGAACGGACCCUUCGGGGUUAGUGGCGGACGGGUGAGUAACACGUGGGAACGUGCCUUUAGGUUCGGAAUAGCUCCUGGAAACGGGUGGUAAUGCCGAAUGUGCCCUUCGGGGGAAAGAUUUAUCGCCUUUAGAGCGGCCCGCGUCUGAUUAGCUAGUUGGUGAGGUAACGGCUCACCAAGGCGACGAUCAGUAGCUGGUCUGAGAGGAUGACCAGCCACACUGGGACUGAGACACGGCCCAGACUCCUACGGGAGGCAGCAGUGGGGAAUCUUGCGCAAUGGGCGAAAGCCUGACGCAGCCAUGCCGCGUGAAUUUGAAGGUCUUAGGAUUGUAAAAUUC
rnacentral:rRNA from 1 species